rnacentral:lncRNA from 2 species
GAUCCAGGAGUUAGCAAGGGCACACCUACUCAACAACAAAAACUAGCCGAGUCCAUCUUGACCCCUCCUGAGCACCAGAAGAAGAGCACUCAAGCUGAGGAGUCAUUGGCAUUAUCUCCUCGUAGUGAGACUGUACUCAAUUCGUCAGCCACGACUCAUACUGACCCCUACAGUGAAGGGUUGGCUAUUCCACGUGCACCCGAUGAUAUAGGCACUCCGUCCAUAGAUCUUUUUACAAGCGAGUUUCCUGAUAUAGCAGCUCUUUUAGAUGGAGGGGCAGACCCUGAAACCGGUCUCUAUCUGGACUCACCUAUUUUCCCAGAUGCUACUCAGGAGGACCAUGUUGACUCACAUCUCCCAGAGAACAAUGAGGCGUGUACUGAGGCUAACCCUGAUACAUGA